rnacentral:piRNA from 1 species
UUUUAGCAUAGUGUGUCAGGUCUUCAUAGU